GACGGAGGGGGCAAGCGUUGUUCGGAAUUACUGGGCGUAAAGGGCGUGUAGGCGGUCCUUCAAGUCAGGCGUGAGAGCCCCGGGCUCAACCCGGGAACCGCGCUUGAGACUGGGGGGCUCGAGGUUGGGAGAGGUGAGUGGAAUUCCCAGUGGAGAGGUGAAGUUCGUAGAGAUUGGGAAGAACACCAGUGGCGAAGGCGGCUCACUGGACCGGACCUGACGCUGAGGCGCGACAGCGUGGGGAGCAAACAGG
rnacentral:rRNA from 1 species